UAAUACGUAGGGUGCGAGCGUUAAUCGGAAUAACUGGGCGUAAAGGGUGCGCAGGCGGUUGUAUAAGUUAGAUGUGAAAAACCUGAGCUCAACUUAGGUCGUGCAUUUAAUACUGUAUAACUAGAGUUAGUAAGAGGAUGGGAGAAUUCCGAGUGUAGCAGUGAAAUGCGUAGAGAUUCGGAGGAACACCAGUGGCGAAGGCGCCCAUCUGGGAUAUAACUGACGCUCAUGCACGAAAGCGUGGGGAGCAAACAGG
rnacentral:rRNA from 1 species